ensembl:snRNA U6 U6 spliceosomal RNA
GUGCUUGCUUCGGCAGCACAUAUACUAAUAUUGGAAUGAUACAGAGAAGAUUAGCAUGGCCCGUGCGCAAGAAUGACACGCAAAUUCGUGAAGCUUCCAUAUGGAAA